rnacentral:lncRNA from 1 species
GUACUAUGUCCCUUCUUUACUUAAAAUAAUAACAUUAAUAUUCAUUAAUAUUCAUAUGACAAAUAGGACGACGAAAUUCGAUAUUAGCUUAAAAAACUCGAACAAACUUAAUGAAGCGAAGACUAGUAUGUUUAUUUAAGGAUAUAUCAUUGAGCAAAAUUAUCGUUGAAGGUUAUAGAACUCUUUAGAAAUCAGGUUCGGUAGGUUUAUUCUUUUGAAAACUGCUAUAUAAAAUAUGAGUCUAUUUAUAUUUUAAUAAUAUCUCCGAUAGUAAAAAGAGAUUGACUAAUACUAUCAUGAUUCAAGAUAAUCGUCUUACAAUAUUUUUUUAAAUACGGGCC